ensembl:lncRNA
UGGAGAGAUUUAUUGAUGACUGGCUGACUGAGAAAAGCCAUGCAGACACUGUGCAGCUGGUUAAGCAACCUUGUUACGCGCAAGGUCAGGUAUGAGAACUAGGAACAAAACAGGAUGCCGAUGGAGAAAGCCGGCAACAGUGUUUUGAGAAGUCUGUAAGGGAGUGUUUGCUGUAGAGAUAACCACAGAGCACAAAGAUAGGCGUAGUUGACACUGACUAGCGAGCCAAUCCUGAGCUCCACUUAGGCAAUAUGUAUGAGCCUAUUAUCCACACUAUAAAUGUGUGGAUAAACGAGAUUUGCUGAUCAUCUACUAUGGUUGUCGCAUUUCUCCUGCUGAUUUCCUACAAUGUGGUAUGAUUUGAUCUAAGGAGGUACGACUUACGUGGGGCUUGGCUUGUGCCUACCACACUCUAUAUAAUACUGUUCUGGAGAGAGAGAGUUUCCGAGCUGAGGUUCAAGCCAAAGGGGGGAAAUCUCCAAGUCAAGUCUGAUCAAUCACAGGAGACACCAGUAACAGUGUCAGCUGCCCCUGUGGAAGGCAAGAAGGGGACGCAGGUGUCCUCGCUUCUAGAACGGCUAAAAGAAGCAGAGGAGGAGGUAGAGGAGGGUCCAGGCGAGGGGCCCUCCUCAGAGCCACCAUCGUCAAGAAAGGCAACCGGAAAAAUUAAGAGACAUGGAAAGGAGAGUGAUGAAGACGGAGUCUCUAUUACCACUGUUCGUCGGCCUCUGAAGAUGACUGAAAUCCAAGGCUCAAGGAAGGAGCUGACAUGGCGCUCAAACAAAACUCUUGUCACCUGGUUGCUUCGCUGUUGGCAUGGCAGGGCCAGUAGCUUGUCUCCAGAUGGUAACGAAGCCCGCCAACUAGGAGACAUUGCCAGAGAGAAAUCUAAUGGCAGAGGGAUUAGAUGAUGUUUGGAUGGAGCUGCAACCCUCUGGAAACCAAUGUGAAUAGCUGUGAGGGAAAGGUAUCCCUACAAAGAUAGUCUGAAGCCUGUAAUGAAAACGUGGGAUACAAUUGCAAAAGGUAUCCAGUAUUUGAGGGGAAAUAGCCGUGGUGGAAAUGUUGUAUGACCCUAAUUUUGUUCCUAACGAUCCACGCCAAGACCACGAUCCUGAGAGAGUGAGGACAAUGCCUGAUAUAUGGCGGAAUCUCAC